rnacentral:rRNA from 1 species
AAACUAACAAGGAUUCCCCUAGUAACGGCGAGUGAAGCGGGAAGAGCUCAAAUUUGAAAUCUGGCAGUCUUCGAUUGUCCGAGUUGUAAUCUAUAGAGGCGUUUUCCGUGCCGGACCGUGUCCAAGUCUCCUGGAAAGGAGUAUCAAAGAGGGUGAUAAUCCCGUACUUAACACGACCACCGGUGCUCUGUGAUACGUCUUCUACGAGUCGAGUUGUUUGGGAAUGCAGCUCAAAAUGGGUGGUGAAUUCCAUCUAAAGCUAAAUAUUGGCGAGAGACCGAUAGCGAACAAGUACCGUGAGGGAAAGAUGAAAAGCACUUUGGAAAGAGAGUUAAACAGUACGUGAAAUUGUUGAAAGGGAAACGAUUGAAGUCAGUCGUGUUCUUUGGAUUCAGCCAGUUCUGCUGGUCUACUUCCUUUGAACGGGUCAACAUCAGUUUUGUCCGGUGGAUAAAGGCAGUAGGAAUGUAGCUUCUCCGGAAGUGUUAUAGCCUAUUGUCACAUACACUGGGUGAGACUGAGGACUGCAGCUCGCCUUUAUGGCCGACCUUCGGGUACGUUCGAGCUUAGGAUGUUGACAUAAUGGCUUUAAACGAC